GAAAAAACAACCUUUACUGGCUAGAAUACCUUAGCAUUUUGCACAUCCUUUCAUAGUAACCAGAAUGAUAUAUAUAUGGUCUUGUCAUUAGUGGAAAUUCGUUGGAAGUUGCAAAAUUCCUGACAUGUGCUUUAAGGUACUAAGGCAAAUGCCACAUCAGCUUGAGAAAGAAAAUCCAAGAUGUUGUUGCCCGCACUCCACAGACGUCUCGCUAAGUCUUUAUUCCUGGGCUGAGCCAUACCUACUAUGACCAAUGCUAAUGGAAACAAUCUGUCAGGCUUCUUCAGAAGACCAAGAAUCAGCAGUGGGAAACUACAAUGAAGAAGACAAGAGCAGCAAGUUCGUUAGGAUAUCUCAGUGACUUCUAUUCCCACUUAGUAUCUCAUUCAAUACAAAAAACUGCUACCUGCUUAUCAGUUAAC
rnacentral:lncRNA from 1 species